rnacentral:rRNA from 1 species
UACGGAGGGUGCAAGCGUUUAUCCGGAUUCACUGGGUUUAAAGGGUGCGUAGGAGGGCAGGUAAGUCAGUGGUGAAAUCUUCGAGCUUAACUCGGAAACUGCCGUUGAUACUAUCUGUCUUGAAUACCGUGGAGAUGAGCGGAAUAUGUCAUGUAGCGGUGAAAUGCUUAGAUAUGACAUAGAACACCAAUUGCGAAGGCAGCUCGUUACACGAAUAUUGACUCUGAGGCACGAAAGCGUGGGGAGCAAACGGG